rnacentral:rRNA from 1 species
AUGUUCUCUGCCAAGUAUGCCUAUGAGGCAAGGUUUGCAGGAAGGGAGGUGUCAGCUACAGCACAAUUGACGUGGAAAUCCAAGGCACCGUUACGCUGUGGUUUCUUCCUAUGGCUUGCCAUGAAAAAUAGAUGCUGGACGGCAGAUCGUCUUGCUCGACGAGGCCUACCACACCCGGAUGCCUGCCCGUUCUGUGACCAACAUGAGGAGACUUUGGACCACAUCGAGCUAACCUGUGUCUUUGCGCGGAUGAUCUGGAGAACACUUUGCACCAUGAUCGGCAAGCUGGCUUGGACUCCCGAGGGCCUUGAAACUUUGCUGGAUUGGUGU